ensembl:snRNA U6 U6 spliceosomal RNA
UUGCUUCAGCAGCAUAUAUACUAAAAUUGGAAUGAUACAGAGAAGAUUAGCAUGAAGAUGACAUGCAAAUUCAUGAAGCAUUCCAUAUUUUU